GACCUCCUUGUGCUUACCACAGGCUGUGUUCUUACACUGACUGUAUAGAAAGAGGAGGCAGAGAACCUACCCCAUGUACACCACAGCCUAGGCCUUUGUGCCUGGUCUGUAUUGUGAAUGGGGAGACAUGG
ensembl:snoRNA